CUUUCACUUUGCAUUUUACUCUUGAGUCACAUGCUGCGAGAGUCAGAAAAAAAGAUGAUUCUGAUUUCACUUUAUGUCAAUCACAAUUGUAAGGGAAGCAGGAAAAUAGGAUACCCUUGCACAAUAUAAUGGAGUCACAUUCCUGGGAUCCUGGCAUCAAAUUGGGUGGGGAGUGCCACCUCACUGGGAUAUUAGCCAACAAGCAAACAUGCUUUGAUGACUUCCAGUGCGCAGCAGUUUAUCUAGGGAGAGUACUCUACAGCCAGCUGCAUUUCCAUCAAUGGGGCCUCUAAUGGGGGCAUGCUUUCCACAUCUGUCACUGCCACCUUGCUGUAUACUCCGGCCUACCCUACAGGCCAUGCUGCUUCUGAUGGCUGAUCGCAACGAUGGUGCGGUUCCGCUCCACACCCUCAAGCACUGCUCCGCCCUGCAGCAAGGUGUCGCCAGCAGCAACAGCCUUUGAUGGUCAGCGUGGACACAGUGCGGGAAAAUCCACUGCCAAGGUUGUCUUGGAGUACAAGUACAUUUUUGCCUUCAUUGCAACCGGGAAAACUGAGAUGACUCAAUUGGGGGCAGGGAGGGUGUUUUUUUCUGAUGGAUUUUCAAGAUAAUGGAAAAACUAACUAGACACAAUUACAGGUGAUUAUGAUAAUUACUGCAGAUCAUAAGCCGAAUAACCAUCAUCAUAGAAGAUUUAAAUAUUGGAUGUCUUCAAUAUUGUGUUUUCCAUAAAUGGGUUUGAAAUUGAGUGAAAAAUAUGUAGCAUUUUUUUAAAAGCUAUAUUCUUCAAUUUGCAAUACAUAGGAUAAACGGAUAAGACCUAGUAUACAUAUGGCGUAGAAGUACUUGUUAGUGACCUGCAGUAUAGAUAAUUAUUUGAGUUUUAUGCACC